rnacentral:lncRNA from 1 species
AGUUGAGCCUUCGUUCAGCACAACACAAGCAGCAAGAACAGAACAGGACAUCCUUGAUCCCUUACACUACACAUUCCAGGUUAGAAAUGUAACAAACAGGAAAAGACUCUUGCAUGGAAAUUCUUUAUUAUCUUUAUGGCAUCACUGAGUUCACAGAGGCAUAUUCUGUUGGGUCAGGAUGACCUGAAUGACCAUGGCCCCAUGUUUCACAUGUAUCCCACAUUUAUCCUAAGGCUAAAGAAUGCAUGACCUCACUGCUAUACCAUUUGAAGUCUCUUUUCUCAGCGUUUACUAACUUCCUAGUCUAUUUGGUCUGUUGGGUGAAUCUGCUCUUAGGAAGGCUGCCAGUAAAUUCUCCUGGGCUUUUUCCAACAACUCCUCUUAGAUGGUGGGUUGCUGGAGGCCAGAGAUUCUAACCGAACCUUAAAUGAGACCACUCAGUUCUGCUCCUGGUGAUCUCUCUUAAAAUCCAGCCACAGAACCAAGAGCAAAUCUACGCAAUGAUUCUGUCAAUAAAAGACUGGGAUAAAGCACAAGCACGUUUUCAAGAUUCUGCAUCAAGCUGCUCCUGUAGAAGUGGCCAAAGCAGUUCUGUGGGUGAGAUGAGCAUCAGGUGAGAGGCUCUGCAGAGGGUGUGGACUCAUCAAUGCAUCAGGCACCAUGUAUACAAACAGCGUUUAUGUCAUUAAUCCUGUCAUGUUUUACUAUGUUCCCUUCCAGUGUUCUUGCUCUGCAAUGUUACCAUAAUUAUCACAAUGCCAAUUAUUUAAAAUUAGAUGUCUCCUUCAAAUUUUAUUUAUAUUCCCUUCAAAAAGGAUUAUAUAUAUAUAUGUGUGUGUGUGUGUGUGUGUGUGUGUAUUUCAAUCAUCUUUACACUUUUACAACCCUCUUUUUUAAAAUGACUAUAUGGAUAAAUAAUAAAAAUGAAUAUAAUCUUUGAUCAGGAAACCAUAAAAAUAUUAAAUAAAACAAAAAGGCUUCAUACAUUUUCUUGAAUUCCAAAAAGCCUAUAAAUGCUGUACGCUUUGUCAAAAUUCUUGUCUUAGUCAGGGUUUCUAUUCCUGGGCAAAACAUCGUGACCAAGAAGCAAGUUGGGGAGGAAAAGGUUUAUUCAGCUUACAAUUCCACACACCUGUCCAUCACCCAGGAAGUCAGGACUGUAACCUAAGUAGGUCAGGAAGCAGGAGCUGAUGCAGAGGCCAUGGAGGGAUGUUCUUUACUGGCUUGCUUCCCCUGGCUUGCUCAGCCUGCUCUCUUAUAGAACCCAAGACUACCAGCCCAGAGAUGGUCCCACCCACAAGGGGCCCUUUCCCCUUGAUCACUAAUUGAGAAAAUACCCCACAGUUGGAGCUUAUGGAGGCAUUUCCCCAACUGAAGCUCCUUUCUCUGUGAUAACCCCAGCCUGUGUCAAGUUGACACAUAAAACCAGCCAGUACAAUUCUGAACCUGAUUUCAAAAAAUUAAAUAUAUGUUCAUUUGCAUAUGCUAAUGACAACACGAUUUUCCUGACUGUUUUUGGGCUGGAACCUUUGUUUUUCUCCGAACUUCUUUGGAAUUGAUAGAUUGGAUUGAUUCAUUAUGUAAAACCGUUUUUUGUUGUGUUUUGAGGCAGAUAUACACAGAUCCAAGCAUUACAGUAGAAGACAUUGUGUUUUACCAAUUGGCAACAUGACUAAGCUUUGGUUUAAGACUGAAGACAAGUGUGUUUUCUUCUGUAGGAAUACUUAUUUGGUGCCUGUCCAGUUUCAAUCCAGUUUCAAACUGAAUCCUUCAGAUUCAGAAGUAUAUAUGUAAUGAAUACAUAUGUGUGUAUGUAUAUAUGUAUAAUGUAUAUAUGUAUGUAUAUUCCUUUUUAAUGCCUUUAAGCAUGUAAUAUAAAUAACCUUGUACAAGUAAAUUGCACUCCAUGCAGCUUUGAAUUGCCAUGCAACAUUUUAUGCCAACAUGAGUAAAUAACAAAAAGUAGACAACAGCAGCCACAAAACACCACCUGGACAUGCUCUGUUCUUUGUCGUUUGAGAAGGUUUAGCACUCUUUGCCUGCUCAUGAUGAAGGAAAGACUCAAUAUUCUUGUGUGUAGCUGUUCUUCCCCGCCAGAUCAUAACUUGAACUGGACUCCCCGUGGUUCCAGCUCCUCCCAGGUUAGACUUCCCAGGGUCCAAUAUGACAGCAAAAACAAGUGCAUACCACUCGACUUCCUAGCUUUGGUUUUCUUCAGAAACAAACAGAAUUCACAAAUAGAAUUCAAAUGAAAGUGGUUUGCUUGGCAGUGGUCCAUGGGAAAGCUGGUGGUAAGGGAGGGAAGUGAAACAAUCAGGGAGAAGCAGCCAAGUAAGGCUGCAGGCAGCUGGAGCUGCAGUGUGCUGGGGACUCUGGGAGCUAGCAUAGAGCACACACACACACACUCACUCACACACAGCUAUGUUCCAAUGAAGGGCCAGAAACUCAAAAAUCAUUACUUACUACCUCCUGCUGAUCAAGUCACUAAAGAAGUAGAACCAUUAGCCAGUAGGUGUCAUCCAUCAAUGAUUUGGGGUGUUCUCAGAGACACUAACUCCCUAGAGCUUUCCCUUAUCAGUUCCUGUGGGUGAGCUGAAAAGAGUUCUGUGGCCAGAAAGAAAGGAAAUGAGAUUCAGUAGCUCAUCAUUGAAGUCUAGUGAUCUUGCACUUGUAUUAACAGAACAGAGCCAGGAUGUCCUAAACAUGGAGACACAGCAACAUCACACAGUCUCUUCCAAAGCCUAUCUGAACACGGUAUUCAUUCCUCUGAAGGCUUAUCAUUUUUCCUAUCUUUAUUGCUGCCUCCUCCAUUUCUCUCAAAAUUCAAAAUCUUUCUUACAGCCAUAUUCUAGCGAUGCACACAGUGGAGAAAGACUCUCAAGACUACAUGACAACAAGCCCAAAUCACCAGGUGGUAGCUGCAUACUCUGUGAAGAUAUACUCUGAGCCCACUGCCUGUUUCCACCAGAGAACCACCACUCUCCCUGCUCACCAGGAAUUCACUUGACCUGCAUUUGAAUUAAAUAUAGAGGAUGUCUCAGGGGAUGCAUUCCUUUUGGUUCUCUUGAUUGUGAAUGUAAUUGUACAUUUUAGAUUAUCAAUGUGUACUGUAUCACAGGCUUUUUCUAAAAAGUCUAAGAAGUUUGUUGUUGUUAUUUUAUUUUUAUUUUUUAUGAUGGCACAGAUGUCUUGAAGGAUUCUGAAGGCAAAAUUGCAAGCAGCUCUCCCAUCAUCUACCUCAGAAGGAAAAUUUACACUGUUUCGCUUUCUUCCUACUUCCGAGUUGAUAUUUGGCUGUGGCAGAGUGCUACUGAGUUUUGAUUGUCACAGGUUACAGACUAGAACCUCCAAAAUUGAGAACCAAGACAAACCUUUUCUUCUAGGAAGUUGAUUGCCAUAGGUGUCUGUUAUAAGUGUACAGAGCUGACCAACAUACAACCAAUCAAGUGUACAGAGCUGACCAACAUACAUCCUACACCAAGCAUUGUUCUUCAUUCCUCAAAUCAUUGUACAUCCUCAAAGUUCUAUUGAGUCCCUAUAGAAGAACUGAGAGACAGAUGGACCUUAUCAAUGGGAAAGGAGGGUGCUCCAGGCUAUGCGUCCCAAUUUUCUUUGCUAACCUAAGCUUUCAAUUUUUAAUCUAACAAGUAAAGUUCCCAUUGGUUUCUAAAGGUGAUUCUAAGAAUGUCAGCAGGCACAAGGAAGCUCAUUAGGAAUUUUGAAACUUUACUAAAUUGACUAACGGAGUAGCAACCUGACCUUUUCAAAUGUUUCCAGAUGCUGAGCACUAGACUGAAAUCCUAAAUCGAAAGAACCGACUCUUACUGAUCAGCAGCGCUAUAGCAAAAAGAACCUGUUUUCAUUUGAUGUAGUGAGUCAUGAGGGAUGGAAAGACUCUGACACUCAGUGAUUAAUUUCUAAAAAUGUGGUUGAAUGAAUCAAAUUAUGUAUCAUUUGAUGCGAUUAAAUGUGAGUCCCUGCACUGUAUGCAGACCUUUCGCUUUGCAGGCAUUGCCAGCCUGUGAAAUUAACUGUGCCAUUUACAAGCUAUCAUGCAAUUUUCUGUUUCCCGAAACAAAAGCAACAAUCUGGGUACAUUAAAGAUCGUUAUAUAAUUG